rnacentral:rRNA from 1 species
UACAGAGGGUGCAAGCGUUAAUCGGAAUUACUGGGCGUAAAGCGUGCGUAGGUGGUUCGGUAAGUCAGAUGUGAAAGCCCUGGGCUUAACCUAGGAAUUGCGUUUGAUACUGCCUGACUAGAGUUUGGUAGAGGGAAGUGGAAUUCCACGUGUAGCGGUGAAAUGCGUAGAUAUGUGGAGGAACACCAGUGGCGAAGGCGGCUUCCUGGACUAAAACUGACACUGAGGCACGAAAGCGUGGGAGCAAACAGGGAUUAGAUACCCUGGUAGUCCACGCCCUAAACGAUGCGAACUGGAGGUUGGGUGCAACUUGGCACGCAGUCUCGAAGCUAACGCGUUAAGUUCGCCGCCUGGGGAGCACGGUCGCAAGACUGAAAUUCA